rnacentral:rRNA from 1 species
CCUAUGGGGGGCAGCAGGCGCGAAAACUUCACAAUGGGGGCAACCCCGAUGAGGGAAUUCCUAGUGCUAGCACAUUUGUGUUAGCUUUUCUUUAGCUUAGAAAACUAGAGGAAUAAGGGCUGGGUAAGACGGGUGCCAGCCGCCGCGGUAAUACCUGCAGCCCAAGUGGUGGUCGAUUUUAUUGAGUCUAAAACGUUCGUAGCCGGUUCGGUAAAUCUUUGGGUAAAUCGGGGGGCUUAACCUCCCGACUUCCGAGGAGACUGCCGAACUUGGGACCGGGAGAGGCUAGAGGUACUUCUGGGGUAGGGGUAAAAUCCUGUAAUCCUAGAAGGACCACCGGUGGCGAAGGCGUCUAGCUAGAACGGAUCCGACGGUGAGGGACGAAGCCCUGGGUCGCAAACGGGAUUAGAUACCCACGUAGUCC